AGUCUUAUAUUCAAUAAUGAUUUUAAAUUGCAAAUUUAAAGGAGGGUUUAUUCCUAAGGCUU
rnacentral:tRNA from 1 species